AGCGAACGGUUAGCGGCGGGCCUAACACAUGCAAGUCGAACGCGAAAGCCCUUCGGGGUUAGUAGAGUGGCGCACGGGUGAGUAACACGUAGGCAACCUGCCCUCAGGAAGGGGACAACUGCCCGAAAGGGCAGCUAAUACCGACAUAAGACCACGAUGGCUACGGCCGUUGGGGUAAAAGAUGGCCUCUACUUGUAAGCUAUCGCCUGAGGAUGGGCCUGCGGACCAUCAGCUAGUUGGUGGGGUAAUGGCCUACCAAGGCUAAGACGGUUAGCUGGUCUGAGAGGAUGAUCAGCCACACUGGCACUGAAACACGGGCCAGACUCCUACGGGAGGCAGCAGUGGGGAAUAUUGGACAAUGGGCGAAAGCCUGAUCCAGCCACGCCGCGUGAGUGAUGAAGGCCUUCGGGUUGUAAAGCUCUGUGGGGAGGGACGAAAAAGGUGGAGAAGACAACGCUCCGCCCUUGACGGUACCUCCUUAGCAAGCACCGGCUAACUCUGUGCCAGCAGCCGCGGUAA
rnacentral:rRNA from 1 species